UCAAAACACGUGUGUGUGUGUGUGUGUGU
rnacentral:piRNA from 1 species